rnacentral:rRNA from 1 species
UACGUAGGUGACAAGCGUUGUCCGGAUUUACUGGGCGUAAAGCGCACGUAGGCGGACUAUUAAGUCAGGGGUGAAAUCCCGGGGCUCAACCCCGGAACUGCCUUUGAUACUGGUAGUCUCGAGUCCGGAAGAGGUGAGUGGAAUUCCGAGUGUAGAGGUGAAAUUCGUAGAUAUUCGGAGGAACACCAGUGGCGAAGGCGGCUCACUGGUCCGGUACUGACGCUGAGGUGCGAAAGCGUGGGGAGCAAACAGG